GAUGAACGCUGGCGGCGUGCCUAAUACAUGCAAGUCGAGCGAACAGACGAGGAGUUUGCUCCUCUGACGUUAGCGGCGGACGGGUGAGUAACACGUGGAUAACCUACCUAUAAGACUGGGAUAACUUCGGGAAACCGGAGCUAAUACCGGAUAAUAUAUUGAACCGCAUGGUUCAAUAGUGAAAGUCGGUUUUGCUGUCACUUAUAGAUGGAUCCGCGCUGCAUUAGCUAGUUGGUAAGGUAACGGCUUACCAAGGCAACGAUGCGUAGCCGACCCGAGAGGGUGAGCGGCCACACUGGAACGGGGACACGGUCCAGACUCCUACGGGAGGCAGCAGUAGGGAAUCUUCCGCAAUGGGCGAAAGCCUGACGGAGCAACGCCGCGCGAGUGAUGAAGGUCUUCGGAUCGUAAAACUCUGUUAGGAGGGAAGAACGAAUGUGUAAGUAACUAGGCACGUCUUGACGGUACCUAAUCAGAAAGCCACGGCUAACUACGUG
rnacentral:rRNA from 1 species